rnacentral:sRNA from 1 species
GCCAGGUGUGGUGGCUCAUGCCUGUAAUCCCAGCGGCUCAGGAGGCUGAGGCAGGAGGAUCACGAGUUCAAAGCCAGCCUCAGCAAAAGCAAGGCGCUAAGCAACUCAGUGAGACCCUGUCUCUA